AGGACGAACGCUGGCGGCGUGCUUAACACAUGCAAGUCGAGCGGAAAGGCCCUUCGGGGUACUCGAGCGGCGAACGGGUGAGUAACACGUGAGUAAUCUGCCCAUCGCUUCAGGAUAGCCAUCGGAAACGGUGAUUAAUACUGGAUAUGACAUUCCUUCGCAUGUUGGGGUGUGGAAAGUUUUUUCGGCGGUGGAUGUGCUCGCGGCCUAUCAGCUUGUUGGUGGGGUAAUGGCCUACCAAGGCUUUGACGGGUAGCCGGCCUGAGAGGGUGACCGGCCACACUGGGACUGAGACACGGCCCAGACUCCGUACGGGAGGCAGCAGGUGGGGAAUAUUGGGACAAGUGGGGCGGAAGCCUGAUCCAGCAACGCCGCGUGAGGGA
rnacentral:rRNA from 1 species